rnacentral:tRNA from 1 species
GGUGGUGCAGGGCGGCCCGCUCGCCGGACUCUCGUGGAAUCCGGACGCAGCGAUCGGCGGUCAUCGCCCGGGUCUUCCCCGAGCACUGGCACC